CAUCUUCUGAGGAGAAGGAGGAACCAGAGUCAGAUGAAGACUGCUGGUUUUGUCGUCUGUAUUGGCGUCUCUGCUGAGAUCAAUGAGGAAGGCCCAAGUGUCCCCACAGUCUUAGGGGGAAAUGUUUGUUAUGAUGUAAAUUUUAUUUGGUUUGUACGCAGUUCAAUUUCAAAAUUGCUAAAAUGUGUUUGAGCUUUAGACUAUAACAUUUGUUGUAAUAAUUGCUAGGUUGAAGUUCAACAUGUAAAAAAAGGGGGCAUGGAUUUACAUUGCAAAAGGUGUCCACAGUGUAUUAGUGACAUUCUUUCAUUGACAGCUGACAUAAUUCAUUGAGUGAAAUAUUUUAAGCCAAAAAAAAUUCCCUUUUUAAAAAAGGGGGUUUAAAUACUGUUGACACUUUUAUGGUUCCUUUAAAUGCUCUGGCUAUUCCCAGAGGGGUUUUUUUGUUUGUUUUUUUGGUUUUGAUUUGCUUUUUGUUUUUCUUUCUUCUUCUUACAUUUUUUUCCAUUUGAGUCUUAGCUCCCAUUUAAGUUAUGCUUCUGACCUUGUAUGGUCUGUAAGCUUGCCCAGAAAUAAGACCACUGUUUUGAACUACCACAAAAGUAUAAAUGAAUAUUUUAAUGCCACAGUCUUUCCUGUUGCCUGUGGAGUCUCUGCUGAAAUGAAUCAGGAUUCGAGCUCUAGGAUAAGACAGAAAAUGAAAGCAUGUUGUUUGCCAGGACACUGUGGGUUACAUACAAUUUGUUUAAUGAAAUGUCAUGGCUCUGUUCAUAUUUUUGUCUUGUUCUUCCAAUUGGUGUAUACAACUUUCAGAGCCUCUUGUAUUUGGAAGGCUGGAAGGGCCCAGACUUUGGAAUAGUGUCUCGGUUUCACUGUUUUUGUUUUGAUUUUUUUUUUUUAUUUUUUUUAAACUAAAGCUAUAUAAAGCUUGUGGAUUAAACAGAAUAAAUUUCUAAAUUUAAAAAUUUAAAAAAAAAAAAGUCUAUUGUCUUCCCUCCCCUACCCUAAGCAA
rnacentral:lncRNA from 1 species